rnacentral:rRNA from 1 species
ACGCUCGACACCUACUGGAGGCAGCAGUGGGGAAUAUUGCACAAUGGGGGAAACCCUGAUGCAGCGACGCCGCGUGAGCGAAGAAGUAUCUCGGUAUGUAAAGCUCUAUCAGCAGGGAAGAAGAUGACGGUACCUGACUAAGAAGCACCGGCUAAAUACGUGCCAGCAGCCGAAGGUAAUCUGAGGCGGGCGUGGACGAAGGC